GAUGAACGCUGGCGGCGUGCCUAAUACAUGCAAGUCGAGCGAACAGACGAGGAGCUUGCUCCUCUGACGUUAGCGGCGGACGGGUGAGUAACACGUGGAUAACCUACCUAUAAGACUGGGAUAACUUCGGGAAACCGGAGCUAAUACCGGAUAAUAUAUUGAACCGCAUGGUUCAAUAGUGAAAGACGGUUUUGCUGUCACUUAUAGAUGGAUCCGCGCCGCAUUAGCUAGUUGGUAAGGUAACGGCUUACCAAGGCAACGAUUCGUAGCCGACCUGAGAGGGUGAUCGGCCACACGGGAACUGAGACACGGUCCAGACUCCUACGGGAGGGAGCAGUAGGGAAUCUUACGCAAUGGGCGAAAGCCUGACGGAGCAACGCCGCGUGAGUGAUGAAGGUCUUCGGAUCGUAAAACUCUGUUAUUAGGGAAGAACAAAUGUGUAAGUAACUAUGCACGUCUUGACGGUACCUAAUCAGAAAGCCACGGCUAACUACGUG
rnacentral:rRNA from 1 species